rnacentral:piRNA from 1 species
UAAUUGAUGACUAUAAGGCAUUUUUCGCAA